UGCCCUAGUAACGGCGAGUGAAGCGGCAACAGCUCAAAUUUGAAAUCUGGCUCUUUCAGGGUCCGAGUUGUAAUUUGCAGAGGGCGCUUUGGUGUCGGCAGCGGUCCAAGUUCUUUGGAACAGGACGUCACAGAGGGUGAGAAUCCCGUACGUGGUCGCUAGCCUUCGCCGUGUAAAGCCCCUUCGACGAGUCGAGUUGUUUGGGAAUGCAGCUCUAAAUGGGAGGUAAAUUUCUUCUAAAGCUAAAUACUGGCCAGAGACCGAUAGCGCACAAGUAGAGUGAUCGAAAGAUGAAAAGCACUUUGGAAAGAGAGUCAAAUAGCACGUGAAAUUGUUGAAAGGGAAGCGCUUGCAGCCAGACUUGCCUGUAGUUGCUUAUCCGGACUUUUGUCCGGUGCACUCUUCUGCGGGCAGGCCAGCAUCAGUUUGGGCGGUUGGAUAAAGGUCUCUGUCAUGUACCUCUCUUCGGGGAGGCCUUAUAGGGGAGACGACAUGCAACCAGCCUGGACUGAGGUCCGCGCAUCUGCUAGGAUGCUGGCGUAAUGGCUGUAAGCGGCCCGUCUUGAAACACGGACCAAGGAGUCUAACAUCUAUGCGAGUGUUUGGGUGUCAAGCCCAGACGCGUAAUGAAAGUGAACGGAGGUGGGAACCCUUUGGGUGCACCAUCGACCGAUCCUGAUGUCUUCGGAUGGAUUUGAGUA
rnacentral:rRNA from 1 species